ACCCUGAGAUCAUGACCUGAGCAGAAACCAAGAGUCAGAUGCUUAACCAACUGCACCACCCAGGCACCCCACCUCUGACUGGUUUUAUUGUUUUUUUCUAAGUUUGUUUCUGUCUCUGGAAGAGUCAGGAUCGCACCAUCUUGAUAGAUUUUACCAUUUUUUCUCCUACAUCUUAUCUGGGAGGCAGGAAACUUCAAGUUUCCAGGAUUUAUGACCAUCUUUAAAUCAGAUCAACUUUUGAGCUUGAUUUGAGUGUCCCAUUAUGGUAAUUAACCUAGAAUAACCCAGGGUUUGAAGAAGUGAGAAGCAACCAUGUCCUCCUUGAGAUAUCUUCUCUGAGCUUCUCAAUGCUUUCAGGUCUUACAGGACAUCACCUGGAAGUGACAUUCUAAGCCUUCCGUAUGUAAAUGAACUGAUACAGCCCCAGAAUGCUUCUCAACACACCCUCCAGGAAGGCCCUGCUAGUGACUGAAGAACCCAAAAAAGGCAAACACGUAUGUUCCAUCCCAGGUGAGUGCCUCAUUUCACAGCAGAGAAACCUGGAGCCGGGAUCCCUGAGUGGCUCAGCAGUUUGGUGCCUGCCUUUGGCCCAGGGCAUUAUCCUGGAGUCCCCGGAUCAAGUCCCACAUUGGGCUCCCUGCAUGGAGCCUGCUUCUCCCUCUGCCUGUG